GAAACAAAAAAUUGAAAAAGCAUUGCCUACAUUUAGGCUCGUUUAUUUAAAUUAUAUCUGAGACAAACACGCUUAAUAAAUGAACAAACGUUUAGAGGCUUAUACAUGACACUGAUUCAUAAUAAACCAUUUUAAUUUUUUUGAUUUUUAACUAUUUAACAUAUAAAAAUAUUGUUUUUGACUAUCAGAAUUUUUAUAUAGGAAAUACAUAAUUUAUAGGCAGUCAAUGCCCCUUCGGUCAUCAGCGCGCACUUUGACCUAUACUAACCCAGAUAUUCAAAGAGGUUAUCUAUUUGUUAAUUAUUCCAUCUCUACGAACAACGAUAAUCUGUUUUUUAUAUAUAUUAAUUUUCAGAGAAACCUUAAGUGAAAUCAUUUGUUCCCACAUACCCACUAACAAAGUAGAAUAUAUUGUAUGAGUUCUAUACUCAUUUCACAUAGAUUUUAUUUGGUCUCAGCAAUAUAUGAUGAGCCAAACAUCAAAUAUAUUUUUAAAAUAGAAACAAAUGUUCUUUAUUUAAAAAACUGCCUAGCAAUUUCAAUUGAAAACAUUUUCAUUCGAGAUAACACUGAAAGUUGCAAUUCCGCGUUAUCACGUGGAAGUAAUCUCAGACAGUGUAAAUUACUUAAUUGAAAUGUUGCCAUGAAAAUUUCUUUUAGAGAUAACGGGAAAAAUGUGCACUGAUGUCGGUUGCAUUUGAAUUGGGACUAUUCGCUUAUCCAUACAUACAUUCGCACAUAUGUACAUAUAUAUAUAAAUGUGCGUAAAUAAAUGCAUUUUUGUUAUUUGAAUUUGAAAAAGAGUGUGGACACAAUGGGAAUUAUUAAAGUCAUAUGAUUCA